UACGUAGGGGGCAAGCGUUGUCCGGAAUCAUUGGGCGUAAAGAGCGUGUAGGCGGCUCGGCAAGUCUGGUGUGAAAUCUUGCGGCUCAACCGCAAGCGGUCACUGGAAACUGCCUCGCUAGAGUCCGGAAGAGGAGAGCGGAAUUCCUGGUGUAGCGGUGGAAUGCGCAGAUAUCAGGAAGAACACCCGUGGCGAAGGCGGCUCUCUGGGACGGUACUGACGCUGAGACGCGAAAGCGUGGGGAGCGAACAGG
rnacentral:rRNA from 1 species